ACCAGAUGCUAUGAGUGAAUAAAAAAGAAGUGGAGAUGGUGAAGAGGUAUGCAUUGAAGGGUUCAAAGCCUGUGUAGAUUUUUGGUAGAUUUGGGGAAGAGACUGAUAAGAGUGUUCCAAGUGGAGAGAAUAGCAUGUAUUUGAAGUUGCAAGAUAACAAGGUGGGAAGGAUUCAGCUUUUCAUGGAAUUGAAUGAAUGCCAGCUUGAUGAGAUAGUGAUUGAGGAGAAAAAUGCAUUUAAAAUAAAUGUGGAGAGGUAGUCAUGGGCCAGAUAAUGUAUAGCCUUGUAAAAGGUAAAGACUUGGGAUGAUAUCCGAAGUGUUGAGGGAAGGCCUGGAAGGGUUAUAAGCAGGCAAGUGACAAGAUUUGGUUUACAUUCUAAAAUUAUUCUGGCUGCUGUGUGGAAUAUAUAUUGGAGGGAGGCAAGAAUGGAACUGGGGAGUCCUAGUAAGGCUAUGCUAUUGUAGCUAAAACAUAAUGGAUGACAAUGAAUGAUUUUAGGUUGAUGACAGUGGAGGUAGAGGGAAAUGGACAGAUUCCAAAGAAAUUUUGAAGGUAGCAUUAUCAAAAACUGGUACUAGUUUGAAUGUGGGUAGGAAAGAGGGGUAGGUGUUCAUAGUGACUUCAAGAAUUUCUGGUUGGAUGCUGGGUUCAGUUGCCAUUACUUAGAUGGGGACCACUGGAUUUGGAGCAUCUGUAGAUGAAGGAGCAUAGAAGAUCAAGAGUUCAGCUACCCAGAGGAGAGGGUGUAGAUUAGAGAUGAAAGGUUGAGAGUUGUCAGCGUAUACAUAACAUUGUCUAGGAAGAGAGUGUAUCUUGAUGAGAGAAUUGGGUGCUGGGCUGAGCCCUGAGGAAAUCUAACAUUUAGAGGUUAGGUAGAAUAGGAGCAACUGGCAAAGACAAGACACUUGAGAAGUAGGGAACAGAUGAGUAAAGUGCAAUGUCAUAGAAACUGACCAUUGUUUCAGAGGGCAGGUGGGAGGGAAUUAUGGUUAACUAUGUCUGAUGUUCUGAGAGUAAGUACUUAAGAAGGCUGCUUUGCUGGUGACAACUCCUGAGAUACACUUUCAACUAUUCUCCUUUCUUACAUACUUGAGUAGAUGGUUUUAGCCACCAGUGGAGACUGGAGCCCGAAUGGGAAAAGGAUUUCAGGAAAACUUGUAACCUGUUCUUUUAGGACAGCUUUUCUAACUUCUGUAAGAAACACAACCCAGGAAAACUAUUCUAAUGGUGAACUCUGAGUCCAGAUGAAUACUCUUAGUUCUAAGGGAAUAUGCCAUCAAUAGCAGCAAGGUGAAACACGAAUGUUUAUCUUAUCUCUCUGAUUUUACUUUUUUCCUUGGUGAUAAAAAAUUGCUUUCUACUUCAUAAAUCAGUACUACUUCAAAAUACUGCAGAUUUGCAUAGUUAAUACCUUCUGUUCACUGAACAUGGAUAUCAGAAUUUGAAAAUUUAUAUUUAGAGAAAUUCUCGACAUCUUUCUUUUUUCAGUUUUUUUUCCUUUUGCCUCAUCUUAGAUCUUAGCAAAGACACUUAUUUUGUCAGUAGUGCCAGGAAGCAGGCUGUUUCCAUGACAACUGGCAGACUGCAUUUACUGUGGAAAUUUCCGGAAUUAACAGCUGCAUUGCAGAAAGAUGCAUAAAGCAGUAUUCAUCUAGCGAUUCUAACAGUAUGGAUACAGAAGAACUGUUGCUGUGGUGUGCAGGUAUACGUGGGUACAGAGGAGAACACUAAACCCAAUCCAGGAUUUCCAGGCAGAGUUUCCUGAAGGACAAAACUGGAUGAAGUCUGUGUUUUCUUUCUAGUCAAAUUCUGUUAGUCUGUGACUGUGUAAAUCUUGAACACCAAAUUGAGACUAGGAAGCCAUGGGAAUGAAAGUUUUAAUAAAGCAUUUUAUACUUUAAGUGCCAUUGAUGUUGAAUUGCAUGCUUAAGCUUAAAUAGCUUCACAGAAAGAUUCAAAUUCAACUAUAAUUAGACUUUAACUUUUUAUUUUUCUAUUGGCAGACAUCUAGAGUAAACAUGGAAAAAGAAUGAGAUAAAGUUUAAAGCAUAGAAUGGGAUUAGAUUAUGUUGGUUGAUUAUAGUUCAUAUAAGUUAAAAUUUAAGCAUUCUAACAGGUUCAAAAAUAGCCUAGAUUUCAAGUAUGUGUAUUAUAUAUCAAGUACAUGUAUUCCUAAAUGUGUCUGUUAAUAAAAUUUAUUUUUAUAAAAUCUU